rnacentral:rRNA from 1 species
UACGUAGGAGGCAAGCGUUGUCCGGAAUUACUGGGCGUAAAGCGCGUGUAGGUGGUGGGACAAGUCUGCUGUGAAAGCGCCUGGCUUAACCGGGCGAGGUCGGCGGAAACUGUCCGACUCGAGGACGGUAGAGGGGGGUGGAAUUCCCGGUGUAGUGGUGAAAUGCGUAGAGAUCGGGAGGAACACCUGUGGCGAAGGCGGCCCCCUGGGCCGGCCCUGACACUGAGAGACGAAAGCUAGGGGAGCGAAUGGG